GAGACGGACUGACGGCCCUUUUCCCCACUGGAGCGUGCAGCGCCCGGGAGCUGCUUUCCUCUCCCCUCUGCGGCGUUGGGACUACAGAAGAGGCCGCCGGGCUCGCCCGCGAAGGGACAAGCCGGGGCUUGUCGAGCCCGCGAACAGGAAGGAGGGAGUCCUAUCGGAGGGCUCCGUGCUUUCGAGGAGCAGUGACAGAAGAGGCCAUUUUGAAGAACUGACAUCUGAGCAGUAGAAAGAUGGCAUCUGAACGAACUGCUGAGAGAGACCAUCUGAAGGUCCAAAUUCCCCCAACAUUAGACACAGACAAUAUCAAGGACAGCAGAUGGUCAAAAAUGAAAAAUAUUUGUAUUCCCCUUGCUGUUGGUGUUGCUGUUGGUGUUGCUGUUGG